AGGAACGUUAAGACGAUGACGUUGAUAGCGCGGUGUGUAAGCGCAGCGAUGCGUUGAGCUAACCGGUAGCGGUUAAUGAACCGUGAGGCUUAACCUUACACGCCGAAG
rnacentral:rRNA from 1 species